ensembl:snRNA
GUGUUGUACGAAAGGAGAGAAGGUUCGCACUCCCCUUGACAAGGAUGGAAGAAACCCUUGGGCCUAUCAAGACAAUGCAGUUAAGGCAUUGCCACCUACUGUGUAGCAUGUAACCAUUGUGGGGUUUUU